AGCAUAGCUUUAUUUGGUAGCAGUGGUAUCAGCAUUAUUUAAAGAUAUUUAAAGGCCAUCUUCCUUGCUCAGGUAAUCCACACAAGGCUUGUGGUCCCACUUGCAGUAAUCACCCUGCACAGUUUGACAAUGGUCUUAUUGGCACUGACUGGUGUGGAAUGGAGCAAGGUCUGAUACCAGUUAGUCUUUAGGAGAUGGCUUCCAUUCGGUGACUGCAGCACUUCAGCAUCUGGCCUUCUUUAUUUACUGAAGUAUGUUGGCCAAGGCUGCCUUGUCUGUGGAUUACCUGGUGGAAAAGCUAACGAUGGGAUCAAGCUGGCUGUGCUGGCAUUUUGAUUUGAUGGAAAACAUUUCUUGGCUCUAAUUUUGAAUGCUUUGUGGCCUCAAGGAGCAACUAAUACAUCAGGUUGGUUAUUAGCAUCUUAGUUUAAGCUGAGAUGGAAUUGUUUUCUUCAGAGUGCAUGGUAUGAUAGGAGGAAAACAAUGUUGACAACAGACCAGUGUUUAUAGUAGCUGCUAAGCAGUGUUGUAUGGAACCAAGGCCAUUUGCAGUGAAGGACCCAAGGAGUUGGGGGGAAAAGAAUUAGGACAGCUGACUUAAACAGGCGAAAAGGAUAUCCUUUACAAAAUGACAUCAUGCAGAAGGAGUUCUGAAAGGACUAAGAGUUCAUCUCUUUCUGCCUUCUGCUGCUCAGGGGGCUGGCUGGGCAUCAGUCGGGGGUGGUGAGCAAUUGCUUGUGCAUGGUUCAUUGGGCAGUAUUAGUGGUAGUUGAGCGGUUAGACUAACUGAUCUUAGAGGUCUUUUCCAACAGUAAGGAUUCUGUGAUUAGAGAUACUCUGUGGGGGGAUGAUGAUUUGCUGAGAGGUGGAAGCCAUAGCUUUCUACGUAUCAUAUAGGGGUCUCAUAUACAUAAGGGGUCUCAUCAGGAAAGCACAAGAGACAGCUUCAAGAGAGCUUUUGCUAUGACCAAA
rnacentral:lncRNA from 1 species